rnacentral:rRNA from 1 species
UACGUAGGGUGCAAGCGUUAAUCGGAAUUACUGGGCGGAAAGCUUGCGCAGGCGGUUUUGUAAGUUUGACGUGAAAGCCCCGGGCUCAACCUGGGAAUUGCGUUGGAGACUGCAAGGCUUGAAUCUGGCAGAGGGGGGUAGAAUUCCACGUGUAGCAGUGAAAUGCGUAGAGAUGUGGAGGAACACCGAUGGCGAAGGCAGCCCCCUGGGUCAAGAUUGACGCUCAUGCACGAAAGCGUGGGGAGCAAACAGG